UUUAAAACCUUUAAAGAAAAUUUUCACACCAAUAGUUGGUUUCUCUUUGGUGGGGCCUUGUUGUUUGUCAGCCUGUCAAUUGCAUUUUACUGCAUAGUCUAUCUGGAAUGGUAUCGUGGGAUUGAAGAAUAUGAUGUCAAGUACCCAACGCUGGUGCCCAUCACAACUGCAACUUUCAUCGCAGCAGGGGUCUGGUGAGUGGAUGUUGAGUGUGAAUGAAAAGCAAUCACUUGGCGUUCAGGUAAUGAUGAGUGGGACCCAGACCCCAAAUCAAGCGGUGCACCAGGGAAAAGGGUGUCCCAGGCACUCUGCUCUUUGGGGAUCUCCUAUCAAUUUCUUUCUCCCUUAAUCGGCCUUAGUUCUUUAAGACAGAGAAGGUGACUUCUGCGCAUA
rnacentral:lncRNA from 1 species